UACGAAGGGGGCUAGCGUUGCUCGGAAUCACUGGGCGUAAAGCGCCCGUAGGCGGAUCUUUAAGUCAGGGGUGAAAUCCUGGAGCUCAACUCCAGAACUGCCUUUGAUACUGAGGAUCUCGAGUCCGGGAGAGGUGAGUGGAACUGCGAGUGUAGAGGUGAAAUUCGUAGAUAUUCGCAAGAACACCAAUGGCGAAGGCAGCUCGCUGGGACGUUACUGACGCUGAGACGCGAAAGCGUGGGGAGCAAACAGG
rnacentral:rRNA from 1 species